CCUACGGGUGGCAGCAGUGGGGAAUAUUGCACAAUGGGCGCAAGCCUGAUGCAGCCAUGCCGCGUGUGUGAAGAAGGCCUUCGGGUUGUAAAGCACUUUCAGCGGGGAGGAAGGCGUUAAGGUUAAUAGCCUUGGCGAUUGACGUUACCCGCAGAAGAAGCACCGGCUAACUCCGUGCCAGCAGCCGCGGUAAUACGGAGGGUGCAAGCGUUAAUCGGAAUUACUGGGCGUAAAGCGCACGCAGGCGGUCUGUCAAGUCGGAUGUGAAAUCCCCGGGCUCAACCUGGGAACUGCAUUCGAAACUGGCAGGCUAGAGUCUUGUAGAGGGGGGUAGAAUUCCAGGUGUAGCGGUGAAAUGCGUAGAGAUCUGGAGGAAUACCGGUGGCGAAGGCGGCCCCCUGGACAAAGACUGACGCUCAGGUGCGAAAGCGUGGGGAGCAAACAGGAUUAGAUACCCUUGUAGUC
rnacentral:rRNA from 1 species